GGUUAAUCAGGAAGAUGGUUAAAUUUAUUAUUUUCUUUGACAUCUAACUACUGUUUCUGCCACUACUUGAAAAAUAGCAAAAACCUUUGAAUUUAUUAUUACGAUGGAAUUUUUCAAAGAUACAUUAACAUGAUGUUGAUAGAGAAAUUAGACUUGAAUUACAAACUAAGGCUCUAUCACCUUCCUAAAUUCCACUAUCCUAAUACAUUUUAUUUUCUUUAAUUUAUGCUUUAAAAGUACUCAAGAUUCAGAGGAAUACUGAGAACAGGACCUCCGUUAUGAACUUCUAAUAAUUUACCAUACAGAAAAUGGUAAUAGUAAAAAAUAGACUUGCAGUUUCCUUAUUGAUCCCUAUUGACAAAGUUCUGCUGAACAAGUUUCAGACAUAAGUACACAGGGAAGGACCUAUGGCAGUGGGAUAGAAGAAAAGCUCUUUCAUGUAAGAUGUAUUUUAAGACUGAAACUCAAGGCUACAGCUAAGCUGGUACACUACAGAGAUGAUUUUCUGAGUGGAAGAAGCAGUAAAAAGCUCAGGAUACAACCCUCCUGCCCUUCCUCUAUCACAGUUGUUGCUAGCUGUAAUCAAUUAACUGCACUCAACCACACCUAUGCUGGUAAAGAAACUGCUAAACGUUGUCUUGUGGGGUGUAGUGCAGAGCUGAAAGCAGUGCUAUUUCCUAGUGGUAAUUAUUUCCCAUUGACUCAGACCAAAGGACGGUGUGGACACCUCACAAACAGUAUGCGGCUGAUAUGGAGAAUAUGUCAAGUCAACUGGAUGAGUCAGCACGGGCAACAUAAAGGACUGCAGUUAAAAGCUAGGGCUAGGACUUGGAGGAUGUGUAGGCAAACGGAAGGAGAGCCGGGGGAAGAAAAACCGAAAUGGAUUCAUUCUCCGUCCUGGAUGGAGGAGGAGAGGAGAGGAGAGGAGAAGGGGACGUGCGAGCUUCCUUCAGCUGCCUCUGUCCGGUGA
rnacentral:lncRNA from 1 species